rnacentral:rRNA from 1 species
AACGAACGCUGGCGGCAGGCUUAACACAUGCAAGUCGAACGCCCCGCAAGGGGAGUGGCAGACGGGUGAGUAACGCGUGGGAAUCUACCUAGUUCUACGGAACAACAGUUGGAAACGACUGCUAAUACCGUAUACGCCCUACGGGGGAAAGAUUUAUCGGAAUUAGAUGAGCCCGCGUGAGAUUAGCUAGUUGGUGGGGUAAUGGCCUACCAAGGCGACGAUCUCUAGCUGGUCUGAGAGGAUGAUCAGCCACACUGGGACUGAGACACGGCCCAGACUCCUACGGGAGGCAGCAGUGGGGAAUAUUGGACAAUGGGCGAAAGCCUGAUCCAGCCAUGCCGCGUGAGUGAUGAAGGCCUUAGGGUUGUAAAGCUCUUUCAGUGGGGAAGAUAAUGACGGUACCCACAG